AUGCAUGUGGCAUCCACAGCCUCCUUGGGCAACCUGUUCCAAUGCGUCACCACCCUGUUUCAGUGCCUCAAUUAACACUAUUUUAAGAGAAUGCCUACCAGGAAUCAGUCUAUUGCUAACAAAAAAAGAGCAAUGUGUGGCCUCAUUAGAAUCCAAUUGCCAGGAGUCAGUUGUGAGGUUAUUUUUGGCACUGGGGCCAAGUUUGAUUUUCACUUUCUUCUAUGUGUCCUGCUCUUCCUCCUUCAGCAUUCAGUCUUUUCACAGUUGUUGGGCUCAUCUUUGUGACUUGUGCUCCUUGUUACUACAUGUGUUGGUUUUUCGCUUCACAUUCAGAUUAUUAGCAAUAUUGAUGCUCGAGAUAAUUUUUGUGCCAUUUCUGGAGAGACAUGCAAAUCUGAGCUGCUUUCCAUUUAAUAUCAGCUGAAGUUCCCUGCAACGUUGUCAUCUGCAUGGGAACCAGCAGCCCAUCUGCGCCUAACAUCAAUAUCAGAGUAAAAGAGAGUCCCUUCUGCAUGAUAAAUAUGCACUGUGAAAAUCCUCAUCAGAUCUGAAAGUGGGCCUGAUGGGAAAAGUCAUUCUUUCCCUAAAACUAGCAGCAGGUCAAAUCGCAUUUCAGCUGUGAAUAAUGGACAGCAGUGAUUCACCCUGCAGCUAGCCUCAUAAAAGUCCACUCCUUAUUCUCUAAGAUGAAUAGGAGUGAUAUUUUUAUAGACAAGCGUUGUUGUUGGUAGGUCCUUUCUGGGUCAGCUUAUAUCAACACAUGCAACCCCUUCUGGCUGCCUCCCAGCUUCACAAAGACUGGCAGAUCCAUUGUCAGCCCAACCGCAGGGGCUGGAGCGGGGAUCUAGUGAGGAUGUGCUGGACCACACACUCCUUCAGUUGGGUUAAGAAAAUACACUUAAGCCAAACAUCAAAACUUUUCAGCCCUGAGCCAUGCUAUUUAAGGGAAAAACAGCAUACCACGUGCUUGCCAGGGACAGAGAAUCCUAUUGCUCCUAGUGCUAGAUGGGGAGAGGAUCUUCAUGACUUUUGCUGCUCAUCUGCCUAGGGCUGAAAUCAGUGCAAGUUCCCUACUUGGGGUUAUGCCUUCCCUUGAGGUAAUGGUGCUCUUCUGCUUGCAAGAAAUCAACACUAUAUAUAUAUAUAUACACAUUAAUUAUUCCUCUUCUUUUUUUCUACAUAUAUGGCUGCUUCAUCUGCGCUAGUGCAGUAUUUUCCAUUAGGCACUCCUCUGCAGUACAACAAUAAACACUCUUAGAACAACAUGCAUACGAUUAAACUGUUAAACCUGCUCGAAGUAUACAGUUCAUAAAUUGAAAGCGCCUAUGCUCAUACUUUGCUAUUGAUUGCUGAGCUUAUAAAAAUAGAAGAACUUGCCCUUAAGAAACAAGAAUUGUGGUUCUUUAAGCUUUUCUUUGUCAGGCAGCCAAAAAAGACAACUUUACAUGGAAAUGUUGCCAUUUGUUCAUGUCAGAAGUAGUUUGUUCGAUUAGAUGUUUUUUAGCUCUGCUGAUUUAUAUGAAGAAGGUUAAUUUUUUUUUACUGUUUUUCUUCAUGCUGUGCCUUUAAUACGCACUAAGAUAACUGAGCCUAGUAAAAUAUACAGUGUUAUUUGGUAAUGUGUUUAUUGGAUUCCAUUAGAAGACUCUGAGAAAUUAUUUGAGAUUUUUUGCUUCUUCAACUAAAAAUAUCUCCUUUUUUCUUCCUUUUUUUUUUUUUUUUUUUUUUCUUUUUCCCCUGCACAAUCUUGCAAGCUUUUUGUUUUCUGGAAAUGCUUGAAAGAAGAGAUUGUUAGAAACAGACUUGUAGUGGGUUCGUGUUGGUUUUCUUUGCUUGUCUGUUUUUGUUUUGUUGUUCUCUCCUGAGAGUGAAAAGGAGAGGCUGUUAGGGGAAGAAUGUUUAGAAUUAUUCCUGUUUUCCAAAGCUUGCGUCCAUGGUUCUCAAACAUAUCUGGCAUCAGGCAGGACAAUAAGUGCAAGAGGAGCCUAAGCUUCCAGUAACUUGCCUUUUUAAAUGGUCUUAUGGUGGCUUCAGAUCAGUCAUGGUUUUAUGGAUGUGGUUUUAGGGUAGCUUAAACUAGCAAAAAAUUACACAUUUUUCUCAGGCUGGACUGUGGAGCUGUGCUCAGCCUCAGCAGCCUGCAUAAAGCUACACAUGUGCAUGUUUGACUGAACUGGGGCAGUAGUGCUAUGUCAGUGGCCUUGCCACAGACCUAAUGAUUACAGAGCACCGAGGCCAUUCAGCUGGCUUUGGGCUGGAACCACUCCUGUGGUUCAUGGUUACUUCCUAAAGGUUCCUGUAAGUGCUUCAGGACUCGCAGUGUGAUCAGGAGGUGAAGCCUCAGGAAGUGCUGGAGAUCAGGGUGUGCUGGGUGCACUCUGUGGGGUGGCCUCUGGGAGGGACAGUGCAAACCACAAUGACUGGGGGUGGUCUGGAAGCUAACUCCAGUGUAACCAAGGGUGUGGGUUCCUAAUCCAGAGGUAAGCUGCUUCCAGCAGAGGUGGCCUUUCCACAGCCCAUGUGGAUGCUCCUGCCCUCUCCCUUCUGUUGCCUCAGGGUCCCAUUGAGCCACGUACUGACAUGGAUCACGUUGAUCCAGUGCAAAGCAGAAUGUGUUUUGUGCAUUGUAGGUUAGGUUUGUGUCAGACCAUAAUUAUGUAUAUGGCAAUCUGCCCUUGGAGCACCUGUCUGAUGGUGAGAGAAACGUGCUGCUCCUUUUUUUGGUAGCCUUCAGUUAGACUGGAUUAAGUAAAAGGAAACUGGAUUACAGGGAAGCUGAGGUUUGACAAAUUCUGGGGCCUGAACUGGUUUCAUCAGCUCAGAAAGCUGUUGUUAACUCCUCAUAGCUGCCUUUGGUGGGAACUGCACAAAACCUGGAGCUUGCUACAAGCUCUGGUGAGCCAGAUAACAGGCAGAGGAGCCUUUCUUUUAAUGUGGUACCUGUAAGAAAUCAGCCAGCCAAAGGUGGUUUGAUGGGGUUAGCUGAUAGGUUUACAUAUGUCAGUGGUCCAGAACCCAGCAAGGGGUUUGGGUUUCCAGUGAAAUGCCCUUUCCCUGUGCACUUCAUUGCUGGUGACAGCUGCUGGCUGCUCCUGGUGCCUGUACAGUACUCACAUGCCACCACAAGGGAAUAUAAUCAUGGCAUCUUUCUCUCUUCCUAUUGGCACCCGAACAAACAUUCUUACAGCUCUGUACUUGAGCUUUGAUUUUAAACACAGCUUUCGCAUGCUAGGUGUCAAUACUUCCCAGGAUUCUUAUCUCUGCUUCCUGCAGACAGGCUUCUGUUUUGGAAAAGAAAUUAAAAAGCCAUAUAACCUUGCUCUGCAUCAGGUAAAAGCAGUGACUGCACUGGCGGUAGGGAGAGUCAGUCCCACCAGCAUAUGAGAAGACAGGUUGCCUGUCCUCCCCAGGACAGAUUCCCAGCUUCCAGUAAUCUGCCACUUUGGGGCUUCCUGAGCUCAGGAUGGCACCUCUGUGUGCAGAAGCCUGUGGCCAAUCAUGUCAUACGAUGAAGUUGCAGAGGUCUAACAAAAGGUUCUGUGUGACUGCUGAGAGGAGCAUGGCUGGGGGAGGCUUUGGGAGGAGCAGGUGGGAGCUGAGAGUGAAGGACAGGGAGAGGAGAAGAUGCUGUUCUUGGAGUGUGAAGAAUAUCUGGCAGCUGUGGGAAGGAUGGAGAGGAUUUCUAGCCUUUAUCUGUCAUGCAAAAAAAAAUCACAGAAAAAUUAGGGCAUAAAAGCAUGGAUAAAGAGAAGAACAGCAUGAGAGUUCUUUUUCCAGCUUCUGUGUUUCUGCCCCCAUUCUUUCCUCUCUGUGUCCAGUGUUGUUGUGCUUCUUGCUUUAUACACUCACCUGCAGCGCUGCUGUGAACCCACACAUCUUCCUCGCUGGUCUCCUCAGGUGGUACCGAAGCUCGGUGAGGUGCAGCUGUACCAGCCUGUUCUGAGUGCUCUGCUCCAUCCCAGGGCAGCAUCCCACUGGACCAGCUGCCUGGAGGAGGAACGGUGAGGGUAGGAGUGAUGGGACUGCAGCAGGAGCCCCGGCAGAUCUGGACAAAGGAAGCCCUAAAACAGCGAAACUUCAGAUGAGAAAUUCUUGUGUGUGAGUUCUUUUUGUUUGUUUGUUUGUUUGUAACAUUCCCUAUGAGCUCUUUAUCUCUUUUACCUUUGAAUGAACUAAAGAAACCAAAAUCUGAAAGAAACGGCUGCGGCAGAAUGUAGAGCCAAGGCUGGGAAUCCAGGGGGAUGAGAUGGUAAGAAAGAAACCUACAGCAAGUAAUCAAAACCCAAACCCAGCCUCGAGCGGUUAUCAUUAAGUUAUCUUGAGUAAGCUGUGUGUUGUGUGUUUCCUGAAGAGCUUGACCAAAAAUUCAUUGAGACCAUAUCUCUCUCAGUAGGUUAUGGUGAAAAGCCCAACUAAUACUUUAUGCCUCCUUUCUGGUUCAUAGCCAGAAGGAUUUGUUGGUUUGCUUUCACUCAUUCCUUACCCAUGAAAAAAAAGCCAACAAAACAAGAGAACUUAAUGAGUUUUGCAAUUCAUUUUUCAUUUGUUCGGGAGCACUUCCUCCAUCCAAACCAUAGAGAGAUUGUUUCCCAGCAUAGAAAAAUCUGCACUGAUGUGGCUGAGCUUUAGUCACCUCAUUUUCUCUCCUAGGAGCAUUCUGAAUUUCUGCAGGGCAAUGAGUUUGCUGGUGGUAGCACCAAACUUGACUUAUUUAUGUUGAAUGGCAAAACAACAACAAAAACUUUCCCAAACUGUAAAAUAUCACUGAAAAGAAAGCAAGCAUAAUUGUCUUCAACCAUUAUGGCUGCCCUAAUUUGAAUCACAUGGGAAAGGGCUUUGUUAAUGGCUUUGUUCUUUUACUCCUCACUGGCAAUAAAACAAAACAAAACGCCCCA